rnacentral:ncRNA from 2 species
UGAUGGGACUCUGGAAAGACCUAAAUGGCGCCGAAGGAGCAAUACAUUAUAUCUUUAGAAAUGUAGAAUCUCUCAGGCAAAGAGACAGAGGAGUAUGA